rnacentral:rRNA from 1 species
UACGUAGGGUGCGAGCGUUAAUCGGAAUUACUGGGCGUAAAGCGUGGGCAGGCGGUUGUGCAAGACAGGUGUGAAAUCCCCGGGCUUAACCUGGGAACUGCGCUUGUGACUGCACGACUAGAGUACGGUAGAGGGGGGGUGGAAUUCCUGGUGUAGCAGUGAAAUGCGUAGAUAUCAGGAGGAACAUCGAUGGCGAAGGCAGCCCCCUGGACCUGUACUGACGCUCAUGCACGAAAGCGUGGGGAGCAAACAGG